rnacentral:rRNA from 1 species
UACGUAGGGGGCAAGCGUUGUCCGGAUUUAUUGGGCGUAAAGAGCGUGUAGGCGGCCAGACAGGUCCGUUGUGAAAACUCGAGGCUCAACCUCGAGACGCCGAUGGAAACCGUCUCGCUAGAGUCCGGAAGAGGAGAGUGGAAUUCCUGGUGUAGCGGUGAAAUGCGCAGAUAUCAGGAAGAACACCCGUGGCUAAGGCGGCUCUCUAGUACGGUACUGACGCUGAGACGCGAAAGCGUGGGGAGCGAACAGG